UUAAGCGACUAAGCGUACACGGUGGAUGCCCUGGCAGUCAGAGGCGAUGAAGGACGUGCUAAUCUGCGAUAAGCGUCGGUGAGGUGAUAUGAACCGUUAUAACCAGCGAUUUCCGAAUGGGGAAACCCAGUGUGUUUCGACACACUAUCAUUAACUGAAUCCAUAGGUUAAUGAGGCGAACCGGGGGAACUGAAACAUCUAAGUACCCCGAGGAAAAGAAAUCAACCGAGAUUCCCCCAGUAGCGGCGAGCGAACGGGGAGGAGCCCAGAGCCUGAAUCAGUGUGUGUGUUAGUGGAAGCGUCUGGAAAGGCGUGCGAUACAGGGUGACAGCCCCGUACACAAAAAUGCACAUAUUGUGAGCUCGAUGAGUAGGGCGGGACACGUGGUAUCCUGUCUGAAUAUGGGGGGACCAUCCUCCAAGGCUAAAUACUCCUGACUGACCGAUAGUGAACCAGUACCGUGAGGGAAAGGCGAAAAGAACCCCGGCGAGGGGAGUGAAAAAGAACCUGAAACCGUGUACGUACAAGCAGUGGGAGCCUCUUAAUGGGGUGACUGCGUACCUUUUGUAUAAUGGGUCAGCGACUUAUAUUCUGUAGCAAGGUUAACCGAAUAGGGGAGCCGAAGGGAAACCGAGUCUUAACUGGGCGUUAAGUUGCAGGGUAUAGACCCGAAACCCGGUGAUCUAGCCAUGGGCAGGUUGAAGGUUGGGUAACACUAACUGGAGGACCGAACCGACUAAUGUUGAAAAAUUAGCGGAUGACUUGUGGCUGGGGGUGAAAGGCCAAUCAAACCGGGAGAUAGCUGGUUCUCCCCGAAAGCUAUUUAGGUAGCGCCUCGUGAAUUCAUCUCCGGGGGUAGAGCACUGUUUCGGCAAGGGGGUCAUCCCGACUUACCAACCCGAUGCAAACUGCGAAUACCGGAGAAUGUUAUCACGGGAGACACACGGCGGGUGCUAACGUCCGUCGUGAAGAGGGAAACAACCCAGACCGCCAGCUAAGGUCCCAAAGUCAUGGUUAAGUGGGAAACGAUGUGGGAAGGCCCAGACAGCCAGGAUGUUGGCUUAGAAGCAGCCAUCAUUUAAAGAAAGCGUAAUAGCUCACUGGUCGAGUCGGCCUGCGCGGAAGAUGUAACGGGGCUAAACCAUGCACCGAAGCUGCGGCAGCGACACUAUGUGUUGUUGGGUAGGGGAGCGUUCUGUAAGCCUGUGAAGGUGGCCUGUGAGGGUUGCUGGAGGUAUCAGAAGUGCGAAUGCUGACAUAAGUAACGAUAAAGCGGGUGAAAAGCCCGCUCGCCGGAAGACCAAGGGUUCCUGUCCAACGUUAAUCGGGGCAGGGUGAGUCGACCCCUAAGGCGAGGCCGAAAGGCGUAGUCGAUGGGAAACAGGUUAAUAUUCCUGUACUUGGUGUUACUGCGAAGGGGGGACGGAGAAGGCUAUGUUGGCCGGGCGACGGUUGUCCCGGUUUAAGCGUGUAGGCUGGUUUUCCAGGCAAAUCCGGAAAACCAAGGCUGAGGCGUGAUGACGAGGCACUACGGUGCUGAAGCGACAAAUGCCCUGCUUCCAGGAAAAGCCUCUAAGCAUCAGGUAACAUCAAAUCGUACCCAAAACCGACACAGGUGGUCAGGUAGAGAAUACCAAGGCGCUUGAGAGAACUCGGGUGAAGGAACUAGGCAAAAUGGUGCCGUAACUUCGGGAGAAGGCACGCUGAUAUGUAGGUGAAGCGACUUGCUCGUGGAGCUGAAAUCAGUCGAAGAUACCAGCUGGCUGCAACUGUUUAUUAAAAACACAGCACUGUGCAAACACGAAAGUGGACGUAUACGGUGUGACGCCUGCCCGGUGCCGGAAGGUUAAUUGAUGGGGUUAGCGGUAACGCGAAGCUCUUGAUCGAAGCCCCGGUAAACGGCGGCCGUAACUAUAACGGUCCUAAGGUAGCGAAAUUCCUUGUCGGGUAAGUUCCGACCUGCACGAAUGGCGUAAUGAUGGCCAGGCUGUCUCCACCCGAGACUCAGUGAAAUUGAACUCGCUGUGAAGAUGCAGUGUACCCGCGGCAAGACGGAAAGACCCCGUGAACCUUUACUAUAGCUUGACACUGAACAUUGAGCCUUGAUGUGUAGGAUAGGUGGGAGGCUUUGAAGUGUGGACGCCAGUCUGCAUGGAGUCGACCUUGAAAUACCACCCUUUAAUGUUUGAUGUUCUAACGUUGGCCCGUAAUCCGGGUUGCGGACAGUGUCUGGUGGGUAGUUUGACUGGGGCGGUCUCCUCCUAAAGAGUAACGGAGGAGCACGAAGGUUGGCUAAUCCUGGUCGGACAUCAGGAGGUUAGUGCAAUGGCAUAAGCCAGCUUGACUGCGAGCGUGACGGCGCGAGCAGGUGCGAAAGCAGGUCAUAGUGAUCCGGUGGUUCUGAAUGGAAGGGCCAUCGCUCAACGGAUAAAAGGUACUCCGGGGAUAACAGGCUGAUACCGCCCAAGAGUUCAUAUCGACGGCGGUGUUUGGCACCUCGAUGUCGGCUCAUCACAUCCUGGGGCUGAAGUAGGUCCCAAGGGUAUGGCUGUUCGCCAUUUAAAGUGGUACGCGAGCUGGGUUUAGAACGUCGUGAGACAGUUCGGUCCCUAUCUGCCGUGGGCGCUGGAGAACUGAGGGGGGCUGCUCCUAGUACGAGAGGACCGGAGUGGACGCAUCACUGGUGUUCGGGUUGUCAUGCCAAUGGCACUGCCCGGUAGCUAAAUGCGGAAGAGAUAAGUGCUGAAAGCAUCUAAGCACGAAACUUGCCCCGAGAUGAGUUCUCCCUGACUCCUUGAGGGUCCUGAAGGAACGUUGAAGACGACGACGUUGAUAGGCCGGGUGUGUAAGCGCAGCGAUGCGUUGAGCUAACCGGUACUAAUGAACCGUGAGGCUUAACCUU
rnacentral:rRNA from 1 species